rnacentral:rRNA from 1 species
UAACAUGCAUUCCCUAGUAGCGGCGAGUGAGCGGGAAGAGCUCAAAUUUGUAAUCUGGCGUCUUUCAGGCGUCCGAGUUGUAAUCUAUAGAAGUGUUUUCCGUGCUGGACCAUGUCCAAGUCCCUUGGAACAGGGUAUCAAAGAGGGUGACAAUCCCGUACUUGACAUGACCACCAGUGCUCUGUGAUACACUUUCUACGAGUCGAGUUGUUUGGGAAUGCAGCUCAAAAUGGGUGGUAAAUUCCAUCUAAAGCUAAAUAUUGGCGAGAGACCGAUAGCGAACAAGUACCGUGAGGGAAAGAUGAAAAGCACUUUGGAAAGAGAGUUAAACAGUACGUGAAAUUGUUGAAAGGGAAACGAUUGAAGUCAGUCGUGUUCAUUGGACUCAGCCGGUUUUCGGUGUAUUUCCUUUGAACGGGUCAACAUCAGUUUUGUCCGGUGGAUAAAGGCAGGAAGAAAGUGGCUCCCUCGGGAGUGUUAUAGCUUUCUGUCACAUACACUGGAGGAGACUGAGGACUGCAGCUCGCCUUUUGGCCGGGGUUCGCCCACGUUCGAGCUUAGGAUGUUGACAUAAUGGCUUUAAACGACCCGUCUGAAA